UUUUCCUGCCACCCCAGGAGAGUGUUGCGGAUAUGAACCAGAUGAAUGUCUGUUCAGGUUUCCCAAAUGAAACCCCACAGCACACAGCUUGGUCUACGUGAAAAUGUAGGACCAGACAUCUUACAAGCAGGAUGCUGAGGUGUUGAUGCCAGAGCCAGUGUUGAGUACACUGGUGGUCUAUCCAUCAUCAGGCUACUGCAUGUGUUCACAGAGGUUCUACUGAUGCCCACUCUGACCGUGGAGCCUUCAGGACGACAAACAGCUCCACUGGCCACCCCACCACAGCUGUUAUUGUUUUGUUGCUGAGCUGAGGAGCGUCGCGCAGCAUGGUUAAAAAAAGAUCUGUACAUAUUAGUGCUCUUCUAUCAGGGAGGGAGUGUUUGUUGCUGGGCUGAGAAGCAUCGUGCAGCAUGGUUAAAAAAAGAUCUGUACAUAUUAGUGCUCUUCUAUCAGGGAGGGAGUGUUUGUUUGCGCUAACUUCUUCUGUCAUUGUAAUAUCGAAGGACAAGUGGCUAAAAAUGUUUGUCAAAGCAAUGUAUUCCUCUGUCUCUCCCUCUUUCCAUGUCUCUGCCCAUAAACAGUCCUCCCUUGUCAAGUUGGGUAUCAAAGCUCCUCUGACCUAUUGACACUUAGCUCAUCUGAGCCCCAUUCCCGAACUUACAAUUCAAAAUAAACU